AAUGGCUUAGCGCCCUCAGGGGACUUUGAGAAACGUGUUCACUCACGACGCUGGCAAAAGAGCUUCACUUGAAAGACAGAUCCGCAAAAAUGCAUCAGAGAUAGAAUAUGGGACCCUGCCUAGGGAGAGGUGAGUCACCUAAGCUUUCUUUUGCAGUAGGAUUAGAGCCAAAUCCAAAAAUCCAAAAGAGGAGAAGUCCCAGGAGACCAAGCCCAAAGCCAGAAACAGCACUGCUAGAUUAGGGAACUGUCCAGAAGAGGAACGCAGCUUGAUGUUAAAAAAAAAAAAAAAUCAAAGUCCUCCACUGCUGUGCACUACAGUGAAAUCCAGGAGAUCUGUGAUGCCCACCAUAAGGGACAUUCGAGGGCUUGCACUGGGCACAGCCAGUGGCACAGGUCUGGGGCCCUAGGAUUCCAAUGACCAGCACUUGGAAAAAGCUUGGUGACCUCUGUUGGAGCUAUGCUGGAGGCUACUUAUCAAGACCUAGCCCAGGUGUGGGCACAGCAGGUCCAUUUUCCACUGACCUGAGAGCAGCUCACAUUGCUGACUUGGAUCUGGGGGCCUCUGUGUGCCCAGGUGCAGACCUUCUAUGCCAUUGCCACCCAGGGAGCUUAAGUCUUACCUGCUGAGGGUUGGCUUGUCUCAGCCACACUGUCUGGUCCUGGGGAUAGAGGCCCGAAUAGAGAAGCUCACCCUUUUUUGGGCAUGCUGUACCUGAGCAUGUCAGUACCUGAGCAUGUCAGUGGGUCCGAUGAGGCUUGAGCUGAGAGGACCCUGACCCUAUUCAGCAGAGGAUGCAGCUCUGGGAAUGAGAACGAGGACCUGCUACUGCUCAGAUUUCUCUAGAUGACCAGCAGUGACAAUAUUAGAUGCACUGUGUUAAUAAAUGACAGAACAUGAAGAAAUCAUAGGAAAUAAAUUUGAACGAUAUAAUCAGAAUGGUAAGCUCUGCAUUUUGUAAAAGGCCGAUGCUAUAGACAAAUUUUAUAUUUCAUGUUAGAUAUGGAGGUCUGAUGACAGUCAUGCAUUUCUAUGUAAUCAGGAAAAUAUUAGAAUGUGAUCAUAUGAGUUUGCAUAUUUUAGAUUGUAGAAAAGAAAUGUUACCCAGGCUGGAAUGCAGUGACACAAUCUUAGCUCACUGCAACCUCCGCUUCCUGGGUUCAAACAAUUCUCAUGCCUCAGCCUCUCAAGUAGCUGGGACUACAGGCAUAUACCACCAUGCCUGGCUAUUUUUGUUUUUUUUUUGUAUUAUUAGUACAGACAGAGUUUUGUCACAUUGGCCAGGUUGGUCUCAAACUCAAGUGAUACGCCAGCCUUGACCUCCUAAAGUGCUGGGAUUACAGGCAUGAACCGCCUUACCAAGAAAUUGCUCCUCUUUUAUUUCAGAAUAGGUUGUAGGCUCUCACUCUUCUAGCCUGAACCCAUGAAGUACUAAUAUCCA
rnacentral:lncRNA from 1 species